UAACAAGAAAAGCACACCCAUUAGAGAAAGCCUAUACCAGCUGAAGUUAGACUUGCCAUAACUUUAAGGUAGGUUUCUCCUGGUUAAUUUUAGUGGGUAUGUUUUAAGUAACUGUAUUUUACUAAAUUAAACAACAUUUGAUUAGUUGCUGUCGAAAGUUGCACCAUUAAUAACAAAAAAGCACACCCAUUAGAGAAAGCCUAUACCAGCUGAAGUUAGACUUGCCAUAACUUUAAGGUAGGUUUCUCCUGGUUAAUUUUAGUGGGUAUGUUUUAAGUAACUGUAUUAAACUAAAUUACCACGAGCCACAACCAAUUAGAAUUUGUUUUGCAAUCAGAGAGUGGGUGGAGAUAUAUUCCAAGAACCAGAAUAUAAUUUGGUUAAAGAAAUGAUCAUCAGACGGACAUUUUCGAAUGUACCCACCAACAUUUGAUUAGUUGCUGUCGAAAGUUGCACCAUUAAUAACAAAAAAGCACACCCAUUAGAGAAAGCCUAUACCAGCUGAAGUUAGACUUGCCAUAACUUUAAGGUAGGUUUCUCCUGGUUAAUUUUAGUGGGUAACAAAAAAGCACACCCAUUUUGGUUAAAGAAAUGAUCAUCAGACGGACAUUUUCGAAUGUACCCCACCAACAUUUGAUUAGUUGCUGUCGAAAGUUGCACCAUUAAUAACAAGAAAAGCACACCCAUUAGAGAAAGCCUAUACCAGCUGAAGUUAGACUUGCCAUAACUUUAAGGUAGGUUUCUCCUGGUUAAUUUUAGUGGGU